rnacentral:misc_RNA from 1 species
UCCGGUUUGUCACCGGCAGUCUCCCUAGAGUGCCCUUGCGUAGCAACUAGGGACAAGGGUUGCGCUCGUUGCGGGACUUAACCCAACAUCUCACGACACGAGCUGACGAUCUCUCGUCCGGUCCUUCCCAUGUCAAGCCUUGGUAAGGUUCCUCGCGUAUCAUCGAAUUAAACCACAUGCUCCACCGCUUGUGCGGGCCCCCGUCAAUUCCUUUGAGUUUCAUUCUUGCGAACGUACUCCCCAGGUGGGAUACUUAUCACUUUCGCUUAGCCACUCAGAUUGCUCCGAACAGCUAGUAUCCAUCGUUUACGGCGUGGACUAC